AUUUAAAAUAUUAUUAAUUAUUUAGUUUUUAUUAAUUUAAUUAAAAUAUUAAUUUUUUUAUUAUUAAAAGAAAAAUUUUUAUUAAUUAUAGAAUAAUAGUACUGUGAAGGAAAUAUAUUUAAAUUUUGAAAAGAAAUAAAGUUAUGUACCUUGUGCAUCAGGGUUUAUUAAUUAAAAAAUAUUAAUAUUUAUUUUUCUCGAAUUUAAAAGGGCUAAAUUAUUAUAUAUUUUAUUGUAUCAUAAAUAUUUAUAAUAAUAAUUUAGUAAUGAAAUGUUAUUCGUUUUUAAAUAUAUCUAGUUUUUUAAGAAAAAAAUUUAAUUUUAUUAAUAAAUUUAAAUUAUUUAAUUUAUAAUUUUUUUAAUUUAUUAUUUAAUAUUUUAAGGGAUAAGCUUUAAAAUAAAAUUUUAUAACUAAAAAGAAUAAUUAUAAUUUAUAGAAUUAAAAAUUUUUAUUAUUUAAAAUUUAUUAAAAUUUGUUAUUGUUAUUAUAUUAUUUUUAUUUAGUUUAAUUAUUUUAUUAAAAUAAAAUUUUUAAUUUAAAAUAUUUUGCGAUAAUGAUAAAAUUAGUAUUUUAUAUAAAUAUUUAAAUUUAAUUUAUAUUAGAAAGGUUAAAUAAAGUAAUUCGGCAAAUAAGUUUUUCACCUGUUUAUUAAAAACAUCUCUUUUUGAAUAUAAUUUAAAGUAGGGCCUGCCCACUGAAUUAUUGAAGGGCCGCAGUAUUUUGACUGUGCAAAGGUAGCAUAAUCAUUAGUUUUUUAAUUGAAAACUUGUAUGAAUGGUUUGAUGAGAAAACAGCUUUCUUUAUUUAAAUGUUAAAGAAUUUUAUUUUUAAGUUAAAAAGCUUAAAUAUUUUUAAUAGACGAGAAGACCCUAUAGAGUUUUAUUUUUUUAUAUAAUUAAAUCUUUAGAAUUUUAAAAUUUUAUUAUAUGAAAAAAUUUGAUUGGGGUGAUUGAAAAAUUAAAUUAACUUUUAUUUUUAUUAAACAUUAAUUUAUGAAUAGAUGAUCCAUUUAAGUGAUUAAAAGAAUAAAUUACCUUAGGGAUAACAGCGUUAUUUUUUUUUAGAGUUCAAAUCGAAAAAAGAGAUUGCGACCUCGAUGUUGGAUUAAAGUUAAUAUUAGGAGUAGAAGCUUAAUAAUUUGGUCUGUUCGACCAUUAAAACUUUACAUGAUCUGAGUUUAAACCGGUGUGAGCCAGGUUGGUUUCUAUCUUUAUAUAGUUAAUAAAUUUUAGUACGAAAGGACCAUAUUUAUAAUUAAAAAUUUUCUUGAAGAAUAAAAUU
rnacentral:rRNA from 1 species